AUCGCCUCCGUCACGAAAAGCUGCGCGGGGAUCAGAAUCGUGUCUUCGCCGUCUGCUGCAUAAACAACGCCGUCCAUGGAUCAUUAAAUGCUCACCGGUGCACAAGAAAUUGUGGGCCACUUCGAAAUAUCUCGGUCCCCAGUUGUAAGUAAACUGUCUCUCUCCUUCCCCCCUCUCCCCGACCUAGGCGGCGGAAGGUGAAACAAUGGCGGCGGCAAGCAGUAUGGCCGAGCUUGCAGACCUACGCCACAGCGGGCUCGAGUCUCUGCUGGAUCCGAGAGGUCACGGGUGGUGUUGACCAGCUAGAUCCGUUGGUUUUGAUGGCUGUUGGGCCGUCGGCAGUGGCACACGCCGACUCGUUGUGCGGGGUUGCAGCUGGACAACACGGCGGCUCUGCUGAGCAGAUCGAUUCUGGCCGCAAGAGGAAGCAGCCGCCUACUGAAUCCUUCGAGUCCACCAGAGAGUUGCACCUAGAUGCGCCAUUGUGGACCAGAAGAGCAUGUCAUGCAAAAGAGAAUCCUCCAUGCGCGCAAAAGCGAGUUUCAGGCCUGAAUUCCACAAAAUAGUGAAUCACAUGAUAAGCGUGGAGCAGUUUGAGACUGCAUGGGGCCUGCUGAUUGAGAAAUACAAUUUGACGUCCCACAAUUACAUGACAAAUCUUUAUGAGAUACAACAUAAGUGGGCAAAGCCGUAUUUCAAAAGUCUCUUCUGCGCCAAAAUGACGAGCACACAGCGUAGCGAGAGUGCAAACAAUAUGUUGAAGAUUUACAUGCCGCCAGCAAAGCCCAAUGCAUGUGUUCGUGCGACAAUACAUGAGGCUUCAAUUCGACCGAGAAUCGGAUGAGAGCUACCAAGAGAAAAGGACAAGAAUUAGUGGUGCUGUGAUGAGAACAAAUGUUGCUAUCGAUAGGCAUGCAAGCAAAGUUUAUACAAGAAAGAUGUUUGAGCUAUUCGGUGAGAACCUCUUCAAAGGUGCAGCAUACCAGGUAGAGGAAUUUUUGCGGAAGAAGAAAUACAUCGCAAGGCACAAUGACGCCGACAAACGUGAGAAAUGGAGUAAAGUGGAUUUCGAGGUGAGCAUAUCAGAUGAUGGCGACUGGUUUGACUGUGAAUGUGGGCAGUUCGCCCACAUGGGGAUGCAAUGUUGCC